rnacentral:sRNA from 1 species
CCUGUUGGGAGGCGUUCAGUGGGCGGGUCCGUUUCCGCCUACUCUCCCAUACAAAAAUUGUUGGAAAUGGGUUUCGAUCGGGAGAGUGCACGAGUU